AUCUCUGUUGCUCAAUGGAUAGAGUGUUGGACUUCUAAUCCGAAGGUGGUGGGUUCGAAUCCCACCUGGGAUA